UACGGGGGGUGCGAGCGUUGUCCGGAAUCACUGGGCGUAAAGGGCGCGUAGGCGGCGCAACAAGUCACUUGUGAAAUCUCCGGGCUUAACCCGGAGCGGUCAAGUGAUACUGUCGUGCUAGAGUGCGGAAGGGGCUACUGGAAUUCUCGGUGUAGCGGUGAAAUGCGCAGACUAUCAGGAAGAACACCAUGCGAAAGCAGCUCUCUGGGCCACUACUGACGCUGGAGAAAGCGAAAGCAUGGGGGAGCGAAACAGG
rnacentral:rRNA from 1 species